rnacentral:rRNA from 1 species
CUGGCGGCAGGCCUAACACAUGCAAGUCGAGCCGGAAACGAGUUNUCUGAACCUUCGGGGNACGAUAACGGCGUCGAGCGGCGGACGGGUGAGUAAUGCCUGGGAAAUUGCCCUGAUGUGGGGGAUAACCAUUGGAAACGAUGGCUAAUACCGCAUAAUAGCUUCGGCUCAAAGAGGGGGACCUUCGGGCCUCUCGCGUCAGGAUAUGCCCAGGUGGGAUUAGCUAGUUGGUGAGGUAAGGGCUCACCAAGGCGACGAUCCCUAGCUGGUCUGAGAGGAUGAUCAGCCACACUGGAACUGAGACACGGUCCAGACUCCUACGGGAGGCAGCAGUGGGGAAUAUUGCACAAUGGGCGCAAGCCUGAUGCAGCCAUGCCGCGUGUAUGAAGAAGGCCUUCGGGUUGUAAAGUACUUUCAGCAGUGAGGAAGAUGGUGUACUUAAUACGUGCAUCAUUUGACGUUAGCUGCAGAAGAAGCACCGGCUAACUCCGUGCCAGCAGCCGCGGUAAUACGGAGGGUGCGAGCGUUAAUCGGAAUUACUGGGCGUAAAGCGCAUGCAGGUGGUUUGUUAAGUCAGAUGUGAAAGCCCGGGGCUCAACCUCGGAAUUGCAUUUGAAACUGACAGACUAGAGUACUGUAGAGGGGGGUAGAAUUUCAGGUGUAGCGGUGAAAUGCGUANAGAUCUUGAAGGAAUACCCGGUGGCGAAAGGCGG